GCUGGGCACAGUGGAGCAUGCCUAUAAUCCCAGCAGCUUGGGAGGCUGAGACAGGAGAAUCACUCAAAGCCAACCUCAGCAAUGUCAAGGCACUAAGCAACUCAAUGAGACUCUGUCUCUA
rnacentral:sRNA from 1 species